rnacentral:rRNA from 1 species
UACGUAGGGGGCUAGCGUUGUCCGGAUUUAUUGGGCGUAAAGAGCGUGUAGGCGGCCCGGUAAGUCCGCUGUGAAAGUCCAGGGCUCAACCCUGGGAUGCCGGUGGAUACUGUCGGGCUCGAGUCCGGAAGAGGCGAGUGGAAUUCCUGGUGUAGCGGUGGAAUGCGCAGAUAUCAGGAGGAACACCGGUGGCGAAGGCGGGUCUCGUGGGCAGUGAACUGACGCUGAGGCACGAAAAGUGUGGGGAUCAAACAGG